rnacentral:rRNA from 1 species
CUUGCUCCCUGAUGUUACGGCGGACGGGUGAGUACACGUGGGUACCUGCCUGUAAGACUGGGAUAACUCCGGGAAACCGGGGCUAAUACCGGAUGCUUGUUUGAACCGCAUGGUUCAGACAUAAAAGGUGGCUUCGGCUACCACUUACAGAUGGACCCGCGGCGCAUUAGCUAGUUGGUGAGGUAACGGCUCACCAAGGCAACGAUGCGUAGCCGACCUGAGAGGGUGAUCGGCCACACUGGGACUGAGACACGGCCCAGACUCCUACGGGAGGCAGCAGUAGGGAAUCUUCCGCAAUGGACGAAAGUCUGACGGAGCAACGCCGCGUGAGUGAUGAAGGUUUUCGGAUCGUAAAGCUCUGUUGUUAGGGAAGAACAAGUGCCGUUCAAAUAGGGCGGCACCUUGACGGUACCUAACCAGAAAGCCACGGCUAACUACGUGCCAGCAGCCGCGGUAAUACGUAAGUGGCAAC